GACGUAGGAUGCAAGCGUUGUCCGGAUUCAUUGGGCGUAAAGAGUUCGUAGGCGGUUUGUUAAGUCUGAUGUUAAAGGCCCGGGCCCAACCCGGGUAUCGCAUUGGAUACUGGCAGACUGGAGUGCAGUAGAGGCAAGUGGAAUUCCCAGUGUAGCGGUGAAAUGCGUAGAUAUUGGGAAGAACACCGGUGGCGCAGGCGACUUGCUGGGCUGUAACUGACGCUGAGGAACGAAAGCUAGGGGAGCAAAUGGG
rnacentral:rRNA from 1 species